rnacentral:lncRNA from 1 species
GUCGAGCUCGCCGGAUCCGAGCUUCCAAGCUCUCCCCGCUCACACCUCACCUUUGAUGGCGCUAGCUUCGAGUGGAUGCGGGGUUGGAGGUCACCUCACACACCCCUUGUGGUGUUGAGGACCUCCCCUGCGAGUGGCUUCAAGCUUCUCCUCAAGUGCUGCCAUGGCUACGGCACCAACCUCCUCCACGAUGGUAAGGUCUAUGCCGGUGGCCACACUGGAGGAAGCUAUAGGCUGAGCUCCCAGCAACCUUCGACCUGACACUAUGACUCCAACCUCGCACCGCUUCGACCAUGGCCUCGCCAGACUCACCGAGAGGUAUGGCAACUAGUCACCACCAUAUCAACUACCUCCACGUCUCCGCCGAUGAGGCCUACGGGCCCUGAAGGCAUAAGGCAAUGCCUUCUCCGACCUACCUCACAAUCAUCGGAGCUGAGGUGCUCAUCCACGAAUGACUUCCGAACUCCACACCUCGCUUCCGAUGGCACUGAUGGGGGCCCUUAUAGAUGGAUUUGAGGUCCUCGGCCCCAAGGUUGCCUACCAGUGGAUCUGAAGUCCCCAAUCUUACCUCGCAGCCGAAAUCUUCCCUCGUCAAGUCCAUCGAGACACAAUUCCA